rnacentral:rRNA from 1 species
GGCCUACGGGAAGCAGCAGUGGGGGAUAUUGCACAAUGGGGGAAACCCUGAUGCAGCGACGCCGCGUGAGUGAAGAAGUAUUUCGGUAUGUAAAGCUCUAUCAGCAGGGAAGAAAAAAGACGGUACCUGACUAAGAAGCCCCGGCUAACUACGUGCCAGCAGCCGCGGUAAUACGUAGGGGGCAAGCGUUAUCCGGAUUUACUGGGUGUAAAGGGAGCGUAGACGGCAAUACAAGUCGGAAGUGAAAUACACGGGCUCAACCUGGGAACUGCUUUGGAAACUGUAUGGCUG